rnacentral:rRNA from 1 species
UACGUAGGGUGCGAGCGUUGUCCGGAAUUAUUGGGCGUAAAGGGCUCGUAGGCGGUCUGUCGCGUCGGGAGUGAAAACUCAGGGCUUAACCCUGAGCCUGCUUCCGAUACGGGCAGACUAGAGGUAUGCAGGGGAGAACGGAAUUCCUGGUGUAGCGGUGGAAUGCGCAGAUAUCAGGAGGAACACCGGUGGCGAAGGCGGCCUGCUGGGCUAUGGCUGACACUGAGGCGCGACAGCGUGGGGAGCAAACAGG